GGAGAGAUGGCUGAGUUGGUUUAAGGCGCUGGUCUUGAAAACCAGAGACUCUUAACGGGGUCCGAGGGUUCGAAUCCCUCUCUCUCCG
rnacentral:tRNA from 1 species